UACAGAGGUGCCGAGCGUUAGGCGGAAUCACUGGGCUUAAAGCGUGUGUAGGCGGAUGCCUAAGUACCUUGUGAAAUCCCCCGGCUUAACCGGGGAACUGCUUGGUAUACUGGGUGUCUUGAGCCACUUAGGGGCGACCGGAACAAACGGUGGAGCGGUGAAAUGCGUAGAUAUCGUUUGGAACGCCAAUGGUGAAAACAGGUCGCUGGGAGUGUGCUGACGCUGAGACACGAAAGCCAGGGGAGCGAACGGG
rnacentral:rRNA from 1 species